rnacentral:rRNA from 1 species
GUGGGGAAUCUUCCGCAAUGGACGAAAGUCUGACGGAGCGACGCCGCGUGAGUGAAGAAGGCCUUCGGGUCGUAAAGCUCUGUCAUCAGGGACGAACGGCCGGUGGAGUGGAAAGCCACCGGAUUGACGGUACCUGAGAAGGAAGCCACGGCUAACUACGUGCCAGCAGCCGCGGUAAUACGUAGGUGGCAAGCGUUGUCCGGAAUUAUUGGGCGUAAAGCGCGCGCAGGUGGGAUCUUAAGUCCAUUUUGAAAGUUCGGAGCUCAACUCCGUGAUGGGAUGGAAACUGGGAUUCUUGAGUACCGGAGAGGAAAGCGGAAUUCCCCGUGUAGCGGUGAAAUGCGUAGAUAUGGGGAGGAACACCAGUGGCGAAGGCGGCUUUCUGGACGGUGUCUGACACUGAGGCGCGAAAGCUAGGGGAGCAAACAGGAUUAGAAACCCCAGUAGUCC